rnacentral:rRNA from 1 species
GACGAACGCUGGCGGCGUGCCUAAUACAUGCAAGUCGAGCGGAAUGAUGAAGAAGCUUGCUUCUUCUGAUUUUAGCGGCGGACGGGUGAGUAACACGUGGGCAACCUACCUUGUAGAUUGGGAUAACUCCGGGAAACCGGGGCUAAUACCGAAUAAUCCAUUUUGCUUCAUGGCGAGAUGUUGAAAGACGGUUUCGGCUGUCACUAUAAGAUGGGCCCGCGGCGCAUUAGCUAGUUGGUAGGGGUAAUGGCCUACCAAGGCGACGAUGCGUAGCCGACCUGAGAGGGUGAUCGGCCACACUGGGACUGAGACACGGCCCAGACUCCUACGGGAGGCAGCAGUAGGGAAUCUUCCACAAUGGACGAAAGUCUGAUGGAGCAACGCCGCGUAAGUGAAGAAGGUUUUCGGAUCGUAAAACUCUGUUGUAAGGGAAGAACACGUACGAGAGUAACUGCUCGUACCUUGACGGUACCUUAUUAGAAAGCCACGGCUAACUACGUG